UACAGAGGGGGCGAAGCGUUAUUCGGAAUUAUUGGGCGUAAAGGGCGCGUAGGCGGCUUGGCAAGUGGAAGGUGAAAUCCCUCGGCUUAACCGAGGAACUGCCCUCCAAACUGCUUGGCUUGAGACCGGGAGAGGUGAGUGGAAUUCCCAGUGUAGCGGUGAAAUGCGUAGAUAUUGGGAGGAACACCAGUGGCGAAGGCGGCUCACUGGACCGGUACUGACGCUGAUGCGCGAAAGCGUGGGGAGCAAACGGG
rnacentral:rRNA from 1 species